AACGAACGCUGGCGGCAUGCCUAACACAUGCAAGUCGAACGAGACCUUCGGGUCUAGUGGCGCACGGGUGCGUAACGCGUGGGAACCUGCCCUUAGGUUCGGAAUAACUCCCCGAAAGGGGUGCUAAUACCGGAUAAUGUCUUCGGACCAAAGAUUUAUCGCCUUUGGAUGGGCCCGCGUUGGAUUAGCUAGUUGGUAGGGUAAAAGCCUACCAAGGCGACGAUCCAUAGCUGGUCUGAGAGGAUGAUCAGCCACACUGGGACUGAGACACGGCCCAGACUACUACGGGAGGCAGCAGUUGGGAAUAAUGGACAAUGGGCCAAAGCCUGAUCCAGCCAUGCCGCGUGAGUGAUGAAGGCCUUAGGGUUGUAAAGCUCUUUUACCCGGGAUGAUAAUGACAGUACCGGGAGAAUAAGCUCCGGCUAACUCCGUG
rnacentral:rRNA from 1 species